ensembl:lncRNA
AGUCCCAGGGACUUGGGAGGCUGAGGCAGGGGAAUCGCUUGAACCCAGGAGGUGGAGGUUUCAGUGAGCCGAGAUCGCGCCACUCACUCCAGCCUGGCGACAGAGCAAGACUACGUCUAAAAAAGAGAAAAGACUCUAGGUCUCUCCCCACAGAUAAAUGAAGCAGACACAGUGUAACUCACAAUGCACCUACCUGGUUUCCCUGUAAUGUCCAACCUAAAGAUAGAAUGCCUCAUUACAAUUUCUCAUCCAGACUCAUUUACGUAAUAGAUGCUCUAACCAACUUAUUGGUUAGAAAUAUACUAUUCUGCCCAUUCAUUGCCUACUUCUAAAGAUUGGAGACAGGGUCAAAUGAGAUUUUUUGAGAUCCUUUCUAGUCCUAUUUUUCAGAAUCUAAGAUGUUUUAUUGAAGCAGCCUGAUUGUGUCACGGGCACCUUGUUUACAUGUUGUUCACCUGAGAACUCUCAAGCACCUACACCUUGCUGCGCAUUGAUUGCACUUGGAGUGAGCGUACCAUAGUGGGAAUAAUGAACAUUGGAGUUCCUACCUUUAGGGCUGCCAGAAGAAAAAGGGCAUUAGAUCAUUCCGGGGAUUAGGGAAAGUUUCCUUGAAGAAGUGACUUUGGGGCUGAAAUCUUAAGGAGGAGUAGAAAUUACCUGAAUGAAGCCAAGAAAGGAAAACAGAAGUCAGCUUUCUCCAGGCAAAGGGCGCAUCAUGGACAAAGUUCCUGAGAUGGGUGAGGGCAAGUUUCUUUAAGGAAUUGAAAGAAGGCCAGUGUCUGGCAUCCUGGGAGUGAGGAGGGCCUGGUGCUGAAGGAGGCAGUAAGUGUGGGCCGGGGCCCAGCUGCAGGGUCUGGAUUAAUGUGAAACCCAAGAGCCUUUUCCCUAUGUCCUCUGCUCUUGUAGAGUCUUGUCAAUUAUAUCAUGAACAAAUAAGACUGUACGAUCUCACUUUGGAAACUCUCAAAGAUUUAACUACCCCAUAAUACUCACAAAUAACGUAGAAUUAUAGAAACCUAGGGUUUACAGUCUGAGCUGUUCAGAUAUCCAACUCCUGUUUUGCAAUUAACACCCCACUUUAAAGGCUUAACCAUCUACUAAUUUCAGAGCUGUAGCCAAAAUGUUCUCCUCAUGUGUACAACAGGUUAGCCUCUGAGUUAGGAACUUCACUGGCAUGCAAAGAUGAAUAAGCUCCUUUAUAAUUGGGCUAUAUUCAAUAAAAUUUUGGUCUUCUAUGAAUAAAACUUUGGUUCUAUCAUAGCUAAGAAUUUGUUUCUCAGUGUCUUCUUCUUAAACUACCCAUGCAAUUUUUAAAAACUAAAUACCAGCACUACCAGCACUAAGAUACUAGACUCCUAAAAAGUGGAAAAAAGACAAAAACAAACAAACAAAAACAGCAAAAUCAGCCAAACCUACCUUUUAUGAGAUUGAGUUAGCCUGCCAAUGUGGACAAAGGAUUGAACUUGUUGUAGAUACACAAUUAUAUAAGGUAUAGUUUCCUAUGUCUUUGGAAAGUUGACCCUAUGGAAGGUAACACAAGGAAGCAUCAUAAGUAGGGAUAUGCUGACUAUUAACUUGACUCAAACAUCACUAAAGAAAACAUCUUGGCUGGGCGUGGUGGCUCACGCCUGUAAUCCCAGCACUUUGGGAGGCUGAGGUGGGUGGAUGAUGAGGUCAGGAGUCGAGACCAUCC